rnacentral:rRNA from 1 species
UUUAAGGGGUACCCUGCAGAAGGAUCAUUACAGAAAUCCCAAAUAUAAAACACUCGGUCUAACUGAGCUGUUUCCAGGUUGUAAUACUUGGAUGCCUCGCAGAAUGGCCUGCCUUCGGUGAAGUGCUUUAAUUUCACCUAUGCCUCGCAGAAUGGCCUGCCUUCGGUGAAGUGCUUUAAUUUCACCUAUGCCUCGCAGAAUGGCCUGCCUUCGGUGAAGUGCUUUAAUUUCACCUAAUGACUAGGCUAUACCUGGUACACUCGUGUACCUACGUAUAGUUCCACCUGUGACAGGGUGCCUCCUCGUCUGAUGCUUGCGGGGUGCUUGCAAUCUUGCAUUGCCAGUUCAUCUUGCGGGUGACGAGAUGUGCUGUCGUUCGCGGCAGUGCUAGGCUUAAAGAGUGGUUGUUCAAGCUAAGGCUAAGCUACCGCCCUGUUUGUUUGUUACCCAAAUCUAUUUUACACUGUUCAAGUGGUUCAGGUUGGCGCAAGUCAGUUUGGAUCAUUGCCCACAGCAUGGGUCUCGCGUGAGCUUGACCGCAUGUUCAGUCGCCUGGCGGUGCCUUAUCCCGGGUAGGACUGAGAAACCUUCGUUCAAUUGGGAAACCAUUUGUUCGAGGUUCGUACAACUCUGAGCGGUGGAUCACUCGGCUCGUGUGUCGAUGAAGAGCGCAGCCAACUGUGUGAAUUAAUGUGAACUGCAUACUGCUUUGAACAUCGACAUCUUGAACGCACAUUGCGGCCAUGGGUUAGCCCAUGGCCACGCCUGUCCGAGGGUCGGCUUAUAAAUUAUCACGACGCCCUACAAGUCGUGGCUUGGGUUUUGCCAGCUGACGUGAUUUCCCCUUUUGGUAAUUUCGGGGUGUCAGAUCUAUGGCGUUUCCCUAAUGUAUCCGGUUACAACCACAUAUUGGCUUAUUGCUUUUAUGAGGAUGUGACUGCGGAGUCGUGGCUCAAUGGUAAUGUUUAUGUGCGCGCUCCGUCAGUUCUUCCAGGUUCAAUGUUA